CAAACAGGUUAACGCAAAACUCAGAGAAUACCAGCAUUCAGAGAAUAAGUUCUGUUUAGCCCAAUACUUGCAUAAACCUCUGACAUCCAAGUACCCUUCAAACUCUUCUGCCCUCAGCCUUCUUAUCACACAGAUUUUUCCCCACUUUUUCAUCUAUUUCCAUUGUGCUAGUGCAAACAUACAGACACUGUAGCAAAAGGAUCAAUAAGGGAAGGAUCCACCUUCCCUGAAUGACGUUAUUUAUUUCAAACAUCUACUUUAACUUCCUUUCUCAGCUAUGAAGAAGCCACCAUCACCAUACCAGACAACUUAAAUACAACAUCUGCCAUGUUUUGAGACGUGCUUCCACUCAAUAAACUCACUGGGCACCACUGCACCACCAGGAACUCUUAAAUGCUCUUGGAGGACAAUGGUAGUUUUGUUACAAAAACAGGUACAUUUAGCAAUUACCUGUAGGGAUUACCUAUGUAUCAUGUGAAAAUGAAGCUAUUUUGCUGCUCAUGUAAUCAUACUCAACAGACAUGGUUUCAAAUCAGGGUAGCUAAGGCAAAGAAAAAAAACAACUGCAUUAUUUACAGAAUCUGCAGUAUUCCAUCUGGCAGGGGGGUAAUAAAAGCCUGCUGGAAGUGGGGUAAUUCUGAUACAACUCCAUGACAGCGAGAGGAAAAAGACUGCCUGUCAGUCUUCUCUGAACCUUUUUACAUUCUCCUGUUACAAAGAAAAAUCCCUCUAACCAGUGGAACUUCACUUUGGAAAAGUUCACAGCAAGAGUGUCAAGUGUCAGUGUGCUGGGUUUCCAAGGAGACAAGUAACAGUGGAAAGCCAGUAUUUUCAGGGGGGAGAGGCUAUUCUGGAAUCUAAAAUUCUUUCCUUUUCCUCAUGAUCCCAUGAACCACAUUUACUUGGGAAACAAAUCCUUACAGUAACUUGGAUUCAUAAGGAAUGUCAGCCAAAAUCUGCAGGGAAGAAGCACAGAGAAAACAGUUUGGGACUUGCAAUGCUAGAUGAAAAGAAGGAGUAAUUAUGAUGAAAAGACAGUGGCAGAAGAGAAUGUAUUAAAGAUUCCUCUUAAUGGCAAGCAGAUUGACUACAUAACCCGUAUUCUCAAUAGCAUUAGAUUUCUUAUCUCCCUUACUAAGAUAGAAAGAAGCUCUUUUUCAAAAAGUUUAGAGCAACUGAACAGCAAGAGUGUAUAUUGGACAAGUACAAAAGUCAAAACUGAAAAUGAAAUGGAAAUUACUAAGAGAGAAGAAGUAGACAUUGCAGAUGUACAUUACCAUAAAGGAGCCAAAGACAAUUCUUGACAGUCUACUCUGUUCAAAAUGAAAGCUAUCAAAAAAUAAAACCAUGAAGUUCAAA